CAGCCGCCGCGGUAAUAUGUAGGGUGCAAGCGUUAAUCGGAAUUACUGGGCGUAAAGCGUGCGCAGGCGGUUUGUUAAGACAGAUGUGAAAUCCCCGGGCUCAACCUGGGAACUGCAUUUGUGACUGGCAAGCUAGAGUGUGGCAGAGGGGGGUGGAAUUCCGCGUGUAGCAGUGAAAUGCGUAGAUAUGCGGAGGAACACCGAUGGCGAAGGCAGCCACCUGGUCCACUUCUGACGCUGAGGCGCGAAAGCGUGGGGAGCAAACCGGAUUAGAUACCCCUGUAGUCCCUGUCUCUUAUAC
rnacentral:rRNA from 1 species